rnacentral:rRNA from 1 species
GAUGAACGCUGGCGGCGUGCCUAAUACAUGCAAGUCGAGCGAACAGACGAGGAGCUUGCUCCUCUGACGUUAGCGGCGGACGGGUGAGUAACACGUGGAUAACCUACCUAUAAGACUGGGAUAACUUCGGGAAACCGGAGCUAAUACCGGAUAACAUGUUGAACCGCAUGGUUCAACAGUGAAAGACGGUCUUGCUGUCACUUAUAGAUGGAUCCGCGCCGCAGUAGCUAGUUGGUAAGGUAACGGCUUACCAAGGCAACGAUGCGUAGCCGACCUGAGAGGGUGAUCGGCCACAAUAGAACUGAGACACGGUCCAGACUCCUACGGGAGGCAGCAGUAGGGAAUCUUCCGCAAUGGGCGAAAGCCUGACGGAGCAACGCCGCGUGAGUGAAGAAGGUCUUCGGAUCGUAAAACUCUGUUAUUAGGGAAGAACAAAUGUGUAAGUAACUAUGCACGUCUUGACGGUACCUAAUCAGAAAGCCACGGCUAACUACGUG